rnacentral:rRNA from 1 species
CCUACGGGUGGCUGCAGUGGGGAAUCUUGCACAAUGGGCGAAAGCCUGAUGCAGCAACGCCGCGUGCGGGAAGAAGGCCUUAGGGUUGUAAACCGCUUUCAGCAGGGAAGAAGAUGACGGUACCUGUAGAAGAAGGUGCGGCCAACUACGUGCCAGCAGCCGCGGUGACACGUAGGCACCAAGCGUUGUCCGGAUUUAUUGGGCGUAAAGAGCUCGUAGGCGGUUCGGUAAGUCGGGUGUGAAAACUCUGGGCUCAACCCAGAGCCGCCACCCGA